CGCCGCUAUACCGCCAGAGCAAGCUUAGAAACGUGUUUUGAGGGCUGGAAAUGGCCGAUAUGCGCCUGAUCGUUGCUGGAGCCGGUGGCCGGAUGGGGCGGACCCUGAUCCGCGCCAUUGCCGAAACCCCGGGGUGCNNNNNNNNCGCGCUGGAGGCACCGGGUUCCGAAUUGCUGGGCCAGGAUUCGGGGCUGCUCGCCGGACUGCCCGGCAAC
rnacentral:misc_RNA from 1 species